rnacentral:rRNA from 1 species
GACGAACGCUGGCGGCGUGCUUAACACAUGCAAGUCGUACGGUAAGGCCCUUUCGGGGGUACCCUAAUGGCGACCGGGUGAGUAACACGUGAGUAACCUUCCCACACCUUUGGGAUAACGCUAGGAACCUGGUGCUAAUACUGUUUAUGUGCUCCUGCUUCAUGGUGGGGGUUGGAAAGCUCCGGCGGUUUUGGCUGUGCUGGCGGGCUAUCUGCUUGUUGGUGGGGUAGUGGCUUACCAAGGCGGCGAGGGGUAGCCGGACUGCGAGGGUGACCGGCCACAUUGGGACCGAGAGACGGCACAGAUUGCGAAGGGAGGAAGAAGUGGGGAAGAUUGAACAAGGGGCGCAAGCCGGAUGAAGAAGGGCCGCGGGUGGGAUGACGGCCUUCUGGGUGUAAAACGCUUGCAGCAGGGACGAAGCUUGUUGUGACGGUACCUGAAGAAGAAGCACCGGCUAACUACGUG